CGCCGCGUGAGUGAUAGACGGCCUUCGGAUCUGUAAAGCUCUGUCUUUGGGGACGAUAAUGACGGUACCCAAGGAGGAAGCCACGGCUAACUACGUGCCAGCAGCCGCGGUAAUACGUAGGUGGCAAGCGUUGUCCGGAUUUACUGGGCGUAAAGGGAGCGUAGGCGGAUUUUUAAGUGGGAUGUGAAAUACCCGGGCUCAACCUGGGUGCUGCAUUCCAAACUGGAAAUCUAGAGUGCAGGAGGGGAAAGUGGAAUUCCUAGUGUAGCGGUGAAAUGCGUAGAGAUUAGGAAGAACACCAGUGGCGAAGGCGACUUUCUGGACUGUAACUGACGCUGAGGCUCGAAAGCGUGGGGAGCAAACAGGAUUAGAUACCCUGGUAGUCA
rnacentral:rRNA from 1 species